rnacentral:rRNA from 1 species
GUGGGGAAUUUUGGACAAUGGGCGCAAGCCUGAUCCAGCAAUGCCGCGUGCAGGAAGAAGGCCUUCGGGUUGUAAACUGCUUUUGUACGGAACGAAACGGUCCUGGUUAAUACCUGGGGCUAAUGACGGUACCGUAAGAAUAAGCACCGGCUAACUACGUGCCAGCAGCCGCGGUAAUACGUAGGGUGCGAGCGUUAAUCGGAAUUACUGGGCGUAAAGCGUGCGCAGGCGGGGCUGUAAGACAGGCGUGAAAUCCCCGGGCUCAACCUGGGAAUUGCGCUUGUGACUGCAGUGCUGGAGGACGGCAGAGGGGGAUGGAAUUCCGCGUGUAGCAGUGAAAUGCGUAGAUAUGCGGAGGAACACCGAUGGCGAAGGCAGUCCCCUGGGCCUGUACUGACGCUCAUGCACGAAAGCGUGGGGAGCAAACAGGAUUAGAAACCCGUGUAGUCC